GAUGAACGCUGGCGGCGUGCCUAAUACAUGCAAGUCGAGCGAACGGACGAGAAGCUUGCUUCUCUGAUGUUAGCGGCGGACGGGUGAGUAACACGUGGAUAACCUACCUAUAAGACUGGGAUAACUUCGGGAAACCGCAGAUAAUACCGGAUAAUAUUUUGAACCGCAUGGUUCAAAAGUAAAAGACGGUCUUGCUGUCACUUAUAGAUGGAUCCGCGCUGCAUUAGCUAGUUGGUAAGGUAACGGCUUACCAAGGCAACGAUGCAUAGCCGACCUGAGAGGGUGAUCGGCCACACUGGAACUGAGACACGGUCCAGACUCCUACGGGAGGCAGCAGUAGGGAAUCUUCCGCAAUGGGCGAAAGCCUGACGGAGCAACGCCGCGUGAGUGAUGAAGGUCUUCGGAUCGUAAAACUCUGUUAUUAGGGAAGAAAAUAUGUGUAAGUAUCUGUGCACAUCUUGACGGUACCUAAUCAGAAAGCCACGGCUAACUACGUG
rnacentral:rRNA from 1 species